GCCAGACUCCUACGGGAGGCAGCAGUGGGGGAUAUUGCACAAAGGGGGCAACCCUGAUGCAGCGACGCCGCGUGAGCGAUGGAGUACUUCGGUAUGUAAAGCUCUGUCAGCAGGGAAGAGAAUGACGGUACCUGACCAAGAAGCCCCGGCUAAAUACGUGCCAGCAGCCGCGGUAAUACGUAUGGGGCAAGCGUUAUCCGGAUUUACUGGGUGUAAAGGGAGCGUAGGCGGCAGGGCAAGCCUGAUGUGAAAGCCCGGGGCUCAACCCCGGGACUGCAUUGGGAACUGCCCCGCUCGAGUGCCGGAGGGGCAGGCGGAAUUCCUAGUGUAGCGGUGAAAUGCGUAGAUAUUAGGAGGAACACCAGUGGCGAAGGCGGCCUGCUGGACGGUGUACUGACGCUGAGGCUCGAAAGCGUGGGGAGCAAACAGGAUUAGAUACCCGAGUA
rnacentral:rRNA from 1 species